rnacentral:tRNA from 1 species
AGCAGCUUGGCGCAGUGGAAGCGCGGUAAGUUUAGCAGACAAUCUGUAUCACAGACAUUGUACUAACUUGCCUUAGCCGGGCUCAUAACCCGGAGGUCACUGGAUCGAAACCAGUAGCUGCUA